rnacentral:lncRNA from 1 species
ACCACAUGGUUAAUUUAAUUUAAUAAAGUUAAAAAAAGUGAUGAAAUUAAACUUAUUGUGUUAAGAUUUUAAUUUUUUUUAUUAUACUAAAAUAAAAUAUGAAAAUAGUUAUUGUACCGAAUUUAUCAUUUUCGUAAUAAUUUUGUAGUAAAAAUAUACAAAAAGUGCUUGUAAAGCUAAGGGUACCUUAGCCUUAGAGGGGAUGCAUUUCAGAAAUCUGAUUUCAUUUAGCUGAAACCCUUUCUCUCUCUAAAACCAUUUGCCCUAAAAUUCUCUCUGACUUCUCUCUAUAAUUCCAAUACUUUGAACCGUUCAAUUUCUGAUUUGGUGUUGCCAAAUCAAUCCUGGCGUAGAGAGCUUCGAUUCAAACCGAACAUCUUCCGACUGGUAAGCCAUUUUCCCCCUUUUUCCUUCACUGUUCUUGAGCUAGGGCAUGCCACUUUGCUGGAUUCUUGUGCCUCAUGUGUUUUUCC